rnacentral:tRNA from 1 species
GGGGCCUUAGCUCAGUUGGUAGAGCGCCACACUGGCAGUGUGGAGGUCAGCGGUUCGACCCCGCUAGGCUCCACCA